AUUGGUAGCUGUAGGUGAACCUGCUGCAGGAUCAUUA
rnacentral:rRNA from 1 species